rnacentral:rRNA from 1 species
CGGACGGUGAGUAACGCGUGGGUAACCUGCCUCAUACAGGGGGAUAACAGUUAGAAAUGACUGCUAAUACCGCAUAAGCGCACGGGACUGCAUGGUCCAGUGUGAAAAACCGAGGUGGUAUGAGAUGGACCCGCGUCUGAUUAGCUGGUUGGCGGGGUAACGGCCCACCAAAGCGACGAUCAGUAGCCGGCCUGAGAGGGUGAACGGCCACAUUGGGACUGAGACACGGCCCAAACUCCUACGGAAGGCAGCAG